UUAACCCGAGGUUGUACCGGUGCCUCUCGCCGAGAGAGGUGAAACGGGAAUGCGGUGCGGGGCGAUGCCCCAAUGCCGCAGCUGCCCUCGCAACUGUGGGCGGAUCGGAGCGUCCUCGCAUGCCACUGACCAGAUCGGUCGGGAAGGCGGACGCGCCGGAUAUCCGCGAGCCAGGAGACCGGCCGGUACAAGGUGUGCAACU
rnacentral:ncRNA from 21 species